CUCGUAGGCGGUCUGUCGCGUCUGCUGUGAAAACUGGAGGCUCAACCUCCAGCCUGCAGUGGGUACGGGCAGACUAGAGUGCGGUAGGGGAGAUUGGAAUUCCUGGUGUAGCGGUGGAAUGCGCAGAUAUCAGGAGGAACACCGAUGGCGAAGGCAGAUCUCUGGGCCGUAACUGACGCUGAGGAGCGAAAGCAUGGGGAGCGAACA
rnacentral:rRNA from 1 species